rnacentral:rRNA from 1 species
UACGAAGGGUGCAAGCGUUAUUCGGAAUUACUGGGCGUAAAGCGUGCGUAGGCGGUUGGUUAAGUCUGUCGUGAAAGCCCUGGGCUCAACCUGGGAAUGGCGAUGGAAACUGGCCAGCUAGAGUGUGAUAGAGGAUGGCGGAAUUCCCGGUGUAGCGGUGAAAUGCGUAGAGAUCGGGAGGAACAUCCGUGGCGAAGGCGGCCAUCUGGAUCAACACUGACGCUGAGGCACGAAAGCGUGGGGAGCAAACAGG